GCGUUCCCUGCUGGAGAGAGGCCGCUUUCAAGGCGGUCCACCGAAGGAGCAACCCUGCAUCGUCAGGCGAAUCUCUCAGGUAAAGUGGACAGAAGGGGCAGC
rnacentral:ncRNA from 2 species